rnacentral:rRNA from 1 species
AUUGAACGCUGGCGGCGUGCCUAACACAUGCAAGUCGCACGCGAAAGGGAGCAAUCCCGAGUAGAGUGGCGGACGGGUGAGUAACGCGUAGGAAUCCACCUCGUAGUGGGGGACAACCCGGCGAAAGCCGGGCUAAUACCGCAUACGACCUGAGGGUGAAAGCAGGGGAUCGCAAGACCUUGCGCUAUGAGAUGAGCCUGCGUCCGAUUAGCUAGUUGGUGAGGUAACGGCUCACCAAGGCGACGAUCGGUAACUGGGUUGAGAGAACGACCAGUCACCAUGGGACUUGGACAAGGCCCAGGCUCCUACGGGAAGGAGCAGUGGGGGAUAUUGGACAAUGGGGGAAACCCUGAUCCAGCCAUGCCGCGUGUGUGAAGAAGGCCUUAUGGUUGUAAAGCACUUUAAGCGAGGAGGAGGCUACUGAGACUAAUACUCUUGGAUAGUGGACGUUAAUCGCAGAAUAAGCACCGGCUAACUCUGUGCCAGCCGCCGCAGUAAUAC